rnacentral:rRNA from 1 species
UACGAAAGGUGCGAGCGUUGUUCGGAUUUACUGGGCGUAAAGAGCAUGUAGGCGGUCUAUUAAGUUGGAAGUGAAAUCCCAGGGCUCAACCCUGGAAGUGCUUACAAUACUGGUAGACUAGAGUAUGAGAGGGGAAAGCGGAAUUCCUAGUGUAGAGGUGAAAUUCGUAGAUAUUAGGAGGAACACCGGAGGCGAAAGCGGCUUUCUGGCUCAUUACUGACGCUGAGAUGCGAAAGCGUGGGGAGCAAACAGG